GNAGUCGAACGGUGAACCCCUUCGGGGGGGNNCAGUGGCGAACGGGUGAGUAACACGUGAGCAACCUGCCCCUGGCUCUGGGACAACCACUGGAAACGGUGGCUAAUACCGGAUACGACUCAUCACCGCAUGGUGUGUGGGUGGAAAGUUUUUCGGCUGGGGAUGGGCUCGCGGCCUAUCAGCUUGUUGGUGGGGUAAUGGCCUACCAAGGCGACGACGGGUAGCCGGCCUGAGAGGGCGACCGGCCACACUGGGACUGAGACACGGCCCAGACUCCUACGGGAGGCAGCAGUGGGGAAUAUUGCACAAUGGGCGAAAGCCUGAUGCAGCGACGCCGCGUGAGGGAUGACGGCCUUCGGGUUGUAAACCUCUUUCAGCUCCGAAGAAGCGAAAGUGACGGUAGGAGCAGAAGAAGCACCGGCUAACUACGUGCCAGCAGCCGCGGUAAUACGUAGGGUGCAAGCGUUGUCCGGAAUUAUUGGGCGUAAAGAGCUCGUAGGCGGUGUGUCGCGUCUGCUGUGAAAACUCAGGGCUCAACUCUGAGCUUGCAGUGGGUACGGGCACACUUGAGUGCUGUAGGGGAGACUGGAAUUCCUGGUGUAGCGGUGAAAUGCGCAGAUAUCAGGAGGAACACCGGUGGCGAAGGCGGGUCUCUGGGCAGUUACUGACGCUGAGGAGCGAAAGCAUGGGGAGCGAACAGGAUUAGAUACCCUGGUAGUCCAUGCCGUAAACGUUGGGCGCUAGGUGUGGGGUCCAUUCCACGGAUUCCGUGCCGCAGCUAACGCAUUAAGCGCCCCGCCUGGGGAGUACGGCCGCAAGGCUAAAACUCAAAGGAAUUGACGGGGGCCCGCACAAGCGGCGGAGCAUGCGGAUUAAUUCGAUGCAACGCGAAGAACCUUACCAAGGCUUGACAUGCGCGGUGGAAUCCCAGAGAUGGGGUGUCAUUUAGUUGGUCGCGUACAGGUGGUGCAUNGGUUGUCGUCAGCUCGUGUCGUGAGAUGNUUGGGUUAAGUCCCGCAACGAGCGCAACCCUCGUUCCAUGUUGCCAGCACGUUAUGGUGGGGACUCAUGGGAGACUGCCGGGGUCAACUCGGAGGAAGGUGGGGAUGACGUCAAAUCAUCAUGCCCCUUAUGUCUUGGGCUUCACGCAUGCUACAAUGGCCAGUACAGAGGGCUGCGAUACCGUGAGGUGGAGCGAAUCCCAAAAAGCUGGUCUCAGUUCGGAUCGGGGUCUGCAACUCGACCCCGUGAAGUCGGAGUCGCUAGUAAUCGCAGAUCAGCAACGCUGCGGUGAAUACGUUCCCGGGCCUUGUACACACCGCCCGUCACGUCAUGAAAGUCGGUAACACCCGAAGCCGGUGGCCCAACCCGUAAGGGGNGGAGC
rnacentral:rRNA from 1 species